CUACGGGUGGCAGCAGUGAGGAAUAUUGCACAAUGGGGGGAACCCUGAUGCAGCAACGCCGCGUGGAGGAUGACGCAUUUCGGUGUGUAAACUCCUUUUAUAUGUCAAGAAAAUGACGGUAGCAUAUGAAUAAGCACCGGCUAACUCCGUGCCAGCAGCCGCGGUAAUACGGAGGGUGCAAGCGUUACUCGGAAUCACUGGGCGUAAAGGACGCGUAGGCAGGUUGGAAAGUCAGGUGUGAAAUCCUACAGCUUAACUGUAGAACUGCACUUAAAACUUCUAAUCUAGAGGAUGGGAGGGGUAGAUGGAAUUAGUGGUGUAGGGGUAAAAUCCGUAGAUAUCACUAGGAAUACCUAAAGCGAAGGCGAUCUCCUGGAACAUUACUGACGCUAAGGCGUGAAAGCGUGGGGAGCAAACAGGAUUAGAUACCCCAGUAGUC
rnacentral:rRNA from 1 species